UAAGUUAGAAAGGGCGCACGGUGGAUGCCUUGACACUAGGAGUCGAUGAAGGACGGGACUAACGCCGAUAUGCUUCGGGAGCUGUAAGUAAGCUUUGAUCCGAAGAUUUCCGAAUGGGGAAACCCACCAUACGUAAUGGUAUGGUAUCCUUAUCUGAAUACAUAGGGUAAGGAAGACAGACCCAGGGAACUGAAACAUCUAAGUACCUGGAGGAAGAGAAAGCAAAUGCGAUUUCCUGAGUAGCGGCGAGCGAAACGGAACAUAGCCCAAACCAAGAGGCUUGCCUCUUGGGGUUGUAGGACAUUCUAUACGGAGUUACAAAGGAACGAGGUAGACGAAGCGACCUGGAAAGGUCCGUCGUAGAGGGUAACAACCCCGUAGUCGAAACUUCGUUCUCUCUUGAAUGUAUCCUGAGUACGGCGGAACACGUGAAAUUCCGUCGGAAUCUGGGAGGACCAUCUCCCAAGGCUAAAUACUCCCUAGUGAUCGAUAGUGAACCAGUACCGUGAGGGAAAGGUGAAAAGCACCCCGGAAGGGGAGUGAAAGAGAUCCUGAAACCGUGUGCCUACAAAUAGUCAGAGCCCGUUAACGGGUGAUGGCGUGCCUUUUGUAGAAUGAACCGGCGAGUUACGAUCCCGUGCGAGGUUAAGCUGAAGAGGCGGAGCCGCAGCGAAAGCGAGUCUGAAUAGGGCGUUUAGUACGUGGUCGUAGACCCGAAACCAGGUGAUCUACCCAUGUCCAGGGUGAAGUUCAGGUAACACUGAAUGGAGGCCCGAACCCACGCGCGUUGAAAAGUGCGGGGAUGAGGUGUGGGUAGCGGAGAAAUUCCAAUCGAACCUGGAGAUAGCUGGUUCUCCCCGAAAUAGCUUUAGGGCUAGCCUUAAGUGUAAGAGUCUUGGAGGUAGAGCACUGAUUGGACUAGGGGUCCUCAUCGGAUUACCGAAUUCAGUCAAACUCCGAAUGCCAAUGACUUAUCCUUAGGAGUCAGACUGCGAGUGAUAAGAUCCGUAGUCAAAAGGGAAACAGCCCAGACCGCCAGCUAAGGUCCCAAAGUGUGUAUUAAGUGGAAAAGGAUGUGGAGUUGCUUAGACAACUAGGAUGUUGGCUUAGAAGCAGCCACCAUUUAAAGAGUGCGUAAUAGCUCACUAGUCGAGUGACUCUGCGCCGAAAAUGUACCGGGGCUAAAUACACCACCGAAGCUGCGGAUUGAUACCAAUGGUAUCAGUGGUAGGGGAGCGUUCUAAGGACAGUGAAGUCAGACCGGAAGGACUGGUGGAGUGCUUAGAAGUGAGAAUGCCGGUAUGAGUAGCGAAAGACGGGUGAGAAUCCCGUCCACCGAAUGCCUAAGGUUUCCUGAGGAAGGCUCGUCCGCUCAGGGUUAGUCAGGACCUAAGCCGAGGCCGACAGGCGUAGGCGAUGGACAACAGGUUGAUAUUCCUGUACCACCUCUUUAUCGUUUGAGCAAUGGAGGGACGCAGAAGGAUAGAAGAAGCGUGCGAUUGGUUGUGCACGUCCAAGCAGUUAGGCUGAUAAGUAGGCAAAUCCGCUUAUCGUGAAGGCUGAGCUGUGAUGGGGAAGCUCCUUAUGGAGCGAAGUCUUUGAUUCCCCGCUGCCAAGAAAAGCUUCUAGCGAGAUAAAAGGUGCCUGUACCGCAAACCGACACAGGUAGGCGAGGAGAGAAUCCUAAGGUGUGCGAGAGAACUCUGGUUAAGGAACUCGGCAAAAUGACCCCGUAACUUCGGGAGAAGGGGUGCUUUCUUAACGGAAAGCCGCAGUGAAUAGGCCCAAGCGACUGUUUAGCAAAAACACAGCUCUCUGCGAAGCCGUAAGGCGAAGUAUAGGGGGUGACACCUGCCCGGUGCUGGAAGGUUAAGGAGAGGGGUUAGCGUAAGCGAAGCUCUGAACUGAAGCCCCAGUAAACGGCGGCCGUAACUAUAACGGUCCUAAGGUAGCGAAAUUCCUUGUCGGGUAAGUUCCGACCCGCACGAAAGGUGUAACGAUUUGGGCACUGUCUCAACCAGAGACUCGGUGAAAUUAUAGUACCUGUGAAGAUGCAGGUUACCCGCGACAGGACGGAAAGACCCCGUGGAGCUUUACUGUAGCCUGAUAUUGAAUUUUGGUACAGUUUGUACAGGAUAGACGGGAGCCUUUGAAACCGGAGCGCUAGCUUCGGUGGAGGCGCUGGUGGGAUACCGCCCUGACUGUAUUGAAAUUCUAACCUACGGGUCUUAUCGACCCGGGAGACAGUGUCAGGUGGGCAGUUUGACUGGGGCGGUCGCCUCCUAAAGUGUAACGGAGGCGCCCAAAGGUUCCCUCAGAAUGGUUGGAAAUCAUUCGUAGAGUGCAAAGGCAUAAGGGAGCUUGACUGCGAGACCUACAAGUCGAGCAGGGACGAAAGUCGGGCUUAGUGAUCCGGUGGUUCCGCAUGGAAGGGCCAUCGCUCAACGGAUAAAAGCUACCCCGGGGAUAACAGGCUUAUCUCCCCCAAGAGUCCACAUCGACGGGGAGGUUUGGCACCUCGAUGUCGGCUCAUCGCAUCCUGGGGCUGUAGUCGGUCCCAAGGGUUGGGCUGUUCGCCCAUUAAAGCGGUACGCGAGCUGGGUUCAGAACGUCGUGAGACAGUUCGGUCCCUAUCCGUCGUGGGCGUAGGAAAUUUGAGAGGAGCUGUCCUUAGUACGAGAGGACCGGGAUGGACGCACCGCUGGUGUACCAGUUGUUCUGCCAAGGGCAUAGCUGGGUAGCUAUGUGCGGAAGGGAUAAGUGCUGAAAGCAUCUAAGCAUGAAGCCCCCCUCAAGAUGAGAUUUCCCAUAGCGUAAGCUAGUAAGAUCCCUGAAAGAUGAUCAGGUUGAUAGGUUCGAGGUGGAAGCAUGGUGACAUGUGGAGCUGACGAAUACUAAUAGAUCGAGGACUUAACCA
rnacentral:rRNA from 1 species